rnacentral:rRNA from 1 species
UACGGAGGGUGCGAGCGUUAAUCGGAAUUACUGGGCGUAAAGGGCGCGUAGGCGGUUCGAUAAGUCAGAUGUGAAAGCCCAGGGCUUAACCUUGGAAUUGCAUUUGAUACUGUCGAGCUUGAGUGUGGUAGAGGAAAGCGGAAUUCCGGGUGUAGCGGUGAAAUGCGUAGAUAUCCGGAGGAACAUCAGUGGCGAAGGCGGCUUUCUGGACCAACACUGACGCUGAGGCGCGAAAGCGUGGGGAGCAAACAGGAUUAGAUACCCUGGUAGUCCACGCCCUAAACGAUGAUAACUAGCCGUUGGGGGUAUUUGAAACCUUUAGUGGCGAAGCUAACGCGAUAAGUUAUCCGCCUG